rnacentral:hammerhead_ribozyme from 1 species
AUCCAUCUGACGAGUCCCAAAUAGGACUUCCUGGAU